CGAACGCUGGCGGCGUGCCUAAUACAUGCAAGUCGAACGCUUCUUUCCUCCCGAGUGCUUGCACUCAAUUGGAAAGAGGAAUGGCGGACGGGUGAGUAACACGUGGGUAACCUACCCAUCAGAGGGGGAUAACACUUGGAAACAGGUGCUAAUACCGCAUAACAGUUUAUGCCGCAUGGCAUAAGAGUGAAAGGCGCUUUCGGGUGUCGCUGAUGGAUGGACCCGCGGUGCAUUAGCUAGUUGGUGAGGUAACGGCUCACCAAGGCCACGAUGCAUAGCCGACCUGAGAGGGUGAUCGGCCACACUGGGACUGAGACACGGCCCAGACUCCUACGGGAGGCAGCAGUAGGGAAUCUUCGGCAAUGGACGAAAGUCUGACCGAGCAACGCCGCGUGAGUGAAGAAGGUUUUCGGAUCGUAAAACUCUGUUGUUAGAGAAGAACAAGGACGUUAGUAACUGAACGUCCCCUGACGGUAUCUAACCAGAAAGCCACGGCUAACUACGUG
rnacentral:rRNA from 1 species